rnacentral:tRNA from 1 species
UGGCUCAGUAGUUAAGAGCACUGACUGCUGUUCCAGAGAACCUGGGUUUGAUUCCCAG